rnacentral:lncRNA from 1 species
AAGAGCUUCAGGAUCUUCGCCUGUGGAAUCUGCACCUCCCUCUAUCCUGAGUCCGGCUAGCGAUCCUAGAAAAUGAAAAACUCCAAUUGGGAUUGUGCCUCUUACAGAUCCCAAAGGCUCCUAUUCCCCACGGGUUUUACUCCGGGUCUCAAUUCUCUAUUCUUUCCUCAUCACAAUGGUGCAUUAGAUAUGAAGAUUUUGUUGGCAUUUCUUCCUUUCAUCUCCUAAAUAGUAAAAGUUGUUUAUGCUUGUCUCAGGAGAAACUAGCAGAAGAGCUUACUCCUAUUGAGAAGGAGAAAAUGAUUCAUGCUACCUCUAGUGAGCUGUAGUCUUAUCUCAAGAUUAACAGUUUGAUUAUGAGGCUUGCUUCCCACAACUGAUCAGUUAGAUAAAAUGGUUAGUUCUUUAGCGAAGAGGUGAGAUAUUCUUCGAAAACGCUAAAGAAGGUUGAAGGCAAGUGGAAUAAAUAUAAAAAGAUGAGUAAAGAUACCAAAGCUUUCACGAAUGAGGCUUCUUUAGUAGUUGAUGCUAUAAAGAUCUCCUUGGAUCUAAAAACGGCCAAGGAAAAACUAGCAGCCUAUGUUGUAAGGACUAAGCGUACCUUUGCAUCUUAGAUAGAAGUUCUAAAUGACAAAAGUCUAAGUAGGAGUUUGCCCUUAUGGAACUUGAUAAUACAAGGAACGAGAUAGCCUUUCUAGAGUAACUUCUCGCGAGGCAAAAUUAAUUAAGGAUGUUAUACAGGAAGGGAGAAACAAAAUGCUUGAUAUUAUCAAAAGCAUUCUCCCUAGAUGGAAUAUGGACUUCUUGGAGGCUCAUGAAGAUGAUGUCGAAGAUAUCCUUUCCUCUGAGGUUCCUCCAUUAGUCUUCAAAAAUUUGGACUCCCAAUCUGUUCCUGUUAAUCCGUCUCAAACAAUGGACUCUCUAGCUACCCCAAAGUGGAAAUAUGGAUACUAAUGAGCCUCUUGACACUUCUACCUUUUCAGAGGUAAGAGUACCCCUAGGGGGACAAAGCUCAAGUUAACUAGGAUUAUUCGACUUUUGGAAAUUUUUAGUACUUGUUUAAUAAAGAUAGCUUAUUUUUGUCUCAUUAUCUAUUGAUAGAGAAACUUCAUUCCU